rnacentral:rRNA from 1 species
CGGCGAAGUGAAGCGGCAACCAGCUCAAAUUUGAAAUCUGGCCCCAGGCCCGAGUUGUAAUUUGCAGAAGGAUGCUUUUGGCGCGGUGCCUUCCGAGUUCCCUGGAACGGGACGCCAUAGAGGGUGAGAGCCCCGUACGGUUGGACACCAAGUCUUUGUAAAGCUCCUUCGACGAGUCGAGUAGUUUGGGAAUGCUGCUCAAAAUGGGAGGUAUAUUUCUUCUAAAGCUAAAUAUUGGCCAGAGACCGAUAGCGCACAAGUAGAGUGAUCGAAAGAUGAAAAGCACUUUGAAAAGAGGGUUAAACAGCACGUGAAAUUGUUAAAAGGGAAGCGCUUAUGACCAGACUUGCGCCCGGUGAAUCACCCAGCUCUCGCGGCUGGGGCACUUUGCCGGCUCAGGCCAGCAUCAGCUCGCUGUCGGGGACAAAAGCUUCGGGAACGUAGCUCUCUUCGGGGAGUGUUAUAGCCCGUUGCACAAUACCCUUCGGCGGGCUGAGGUACGCGCUCCGCAAGGAUGCUGGCGUAAUGGUCAUCAGCGACCCGUCUU